CCGCCAGCCGUACGAUCUUCGUCGCUGAUCCUUCCAGAUUCAUCUCGUUUUCCACUGAACUUGACAGAGCUGUUAUGAGCAAAUUGAUGUAAGAGUUGAAUACUUGCAGAACUCCUUCCAAGAUCAGAUCAGUGACAGAAAUACUUCAAAACUGGGCUCAAGAUAAAUCGCAGAUCAGAUCAGUGACAGAAAUACUUCAAAACUGGGCUCAAGAUAAAUGAGCUUUGGUUGUGAGACGACACUGCUCAGCGACGAAGUUGAAGACGACCCCGGGAAAAAUCGAGAAGAAAGGGGGGAAUAAGCAAGCAACCAAUCAUCUGAUGCAGCCAAGGCAGCACUGGUCUGUU